rnacentral:rRNA from 1 species
GGGAAUCUUGCGCAAUGGGCGAAAGCCUGACGCAGCGACGCCGCGUGAGUGAUGAAGGCCUUCGGGUUGUAAAGCCCUUUUCCCGGGGACGAUGAUGACGGUACCCGGGGAAUAAGCACCGGCUAACUCCGUGCCAGCAGCCGCGGUAAGACGGAGGGUGCUAGCGUUGUUCGGAAUGACUGGGCGUAAAGGGCGCGUAGGCGGCCGCUUGCGUCAGGUGUGAAAGCCCGGGGCUCAACCCCGGAACGGCACCUGAUACGGGGUGGCUCGAGACCGAGAGAGGUGAGUGGAAUACCCAGUGUAGAGGUGAAAUUCGUAGAUAUUGGGUGGAACACCGGUGGCGAAAGCGGCUCACUGGCUCGGUUCUGACGCUGAGGCGCGAAAGCGUGGGGAGCAAA